rnacentral:rRNA from 1 species
AUUGAACGCUGGCGGCAGGCUUAACACAUGCAAGUCGAGCGGAGAUGAGGUGCUUGCACCUUAUCUUAGCGGCGGACGGGUGAGUAAUGCUUAGGAAUCUGCCUAUUGGUGGGGGACAACAUUCCGAAAGGAAUGCUAAUACCGCAUACGUCCUACGGGAGAAAGCAGGGGAUCUUCGGACCUUGCGCUAAUAGAUGAGCCUAAGUCGGAUUAGCUAGUUGGUGGGGUAAAGGCCUACCAAGGCGACGAUCUGUAGCGGGUCUGAGAGGAUGAUCCGCCACACUGGGACUGAGACACGGCCCAGACUCCUACGGGAGGAAGCAGUGGGGAAUAUUGGACAAUGGGGGGAACCCUGAUCCAGCCAUGCCGCGUGUGUGAAGAAGGCCUUAUGGUUGUAAAGCACUUUAAGCGAGGAGGAGGCUACUGAGACUAAUACUCUUGGAUAGUGGGCGUUACUCGCAGAAUAAGCACCGGCUAACUCUGUGCCAGCCGCCGCUGUAAGAC